CCAAUGGCCCUCUUUAGGGCCACCAAAAUCAAAUUUGGGGUUCUCG
rfam:Anisakis simplex genome assembly, scaffold: ASIM_scaffold0000102